UGGUGUUGCUGCCCCCCCCAAUCAACAACUAUACCUCAUACAGAGGGGGGCCUAGAUGAGGAUGACACACUGUCAGAGAGCGCAGAGAUGGAAGAAGGAACUCUUCCUCCCCCGCAGCUACAGGUGCUGAUUCCUCCCC